rnacentral:rRNA from 1 species
AAAUUGAAGAGUUUGAUCAUGGCUCAGAUUGAACGCUGGCGGCAGGCCUAACACAUGCAAGUCGAGCGGUAGCACAGAGAGCUUGCUCUCGGGUGACGAGCGGCGGACGGGUGAGUAAUGUCUGGGAAACUGCCUGAUGGAGGGGGAUAACUACUGGAAACGGUAGCUAAUACCGCAUAAUGUCGCAAGACCAAAGUGGGGGACCUUCGGGCCUCAUGCCAUCAGAUGUGCCCAGAUGGGAUUAGCUAGUAGGUGGGGUAACGGCUCACCUAGGCGACGAUCCCUAGCUGGUCUGAGAGGAUGACCAGCCACACUGGAACUGAGACACGGUCCAGACUCCUACGGGAGGCAGCAGUGGGGAAUAUUGCACAAUGGGCGCAAGCCUGAUGCAGCCAUGCCGCGUGUGUGAAGAAGGCCUUCGGGUUGUAAAGCACUUUCAGCGGGGAGGAAGGCGGUGAGGUUAAUAACCUCAUCGAUUGACGUUACCCGCAGAAGAAGCACCG